GGGCAGAGCAGAAGUAGCGUUGUUCUCAGGUGGUGUGUCAACACGGUACUAUCCAUCCAGUGCGCAGAUGUGAGGAGGCGUGCCGGGGGAAGUAAUAAUGGCGAGGGAGCUUAUCGACGAUGGUGUCAAGACGGCGCCCUGCCUUAUGGGGUGGCUCUUACAGGUGCAUGUCUUUGGAAGUGGGAGGAAGCCGGAGUACCCGGAGGAAACCCACGCAUUCAUGGGGAAGACAUGCAAACUCCACACAGAAAGAUCCCGAGCCCAGGAUUGAACCAUGACUACUCAGGACCUUCGUAUUGUGAGGCAGACGCACUAACCCCUCUGCCACCGUGAAGCCCGGACUUUUUAACUUCUUAUAUGAUAUUGGAGCCCUGUGUAUUGGCUGAUAGCCAUAUAUCAUCAGCAUUACAUACUUUUGCUGUUGUGUCGUGUGGAAUUUUAGAGAAGGCUUGACCAAGUGAAAUAACUCAGAAUAGUAGGUGUGAAAAGGACUAACCAGAUGACAGAUUUAUGCUUUAUUUUUGGCUGGCGACACAGAGUGCUCACAAUAAUCUAUCAAAUAAAACGCAUGAUGCAGUAAGUUGUA